UACGUAGGGGCCGAGCGUUGUCCGGAGUUACUGGGCGUAAAGCGCGCGCAGGUGGCUGCGCAAGCCUGGCGUGAAAGCCCCCGGCUCAACCGGGGAGGGUCGUCGGGGACUGCGUGGCUUGAGGGCAGGAGGGGCUGGUGGAAUUCCCGGUGUAGUGGUGAAAUGCGUAGAGAUCGGGAGGAACACCCGUGGCGAAGGCGGCCAGCUGGACUGACCCUGACACUGAGGCGCGAAGGCGUGGGGAGCGAACGGG
rnacentral:rRNA from 1 species